UCUCUCUCUCUCUCCCGUGAGUCUCUCUCUCUCCCCGACCCCGUCGCUCUCCCUUCCUCCCUCUGCAACUCAGGCCACCGGCCACGGCAGCGCACGAGACCGGACUCGAUCGAACCGCCACCUCCUCCUCUCUCUUCCCCGGCCAGCACCGCACCUGGAGUCGUCGACAGCCGCCGGAAAUCGCAGAAAACAGGCCGGAAAAUCGUGGAACUUCAACACCUUCGUUCUCCUUCGUUUCUCAACCAAAUUGGACGAGUGAGCCAGUAGUGACUGGUACGAGCAGCAGAGCUGUGUCGUGUGCCCUUGAACCGUGAACUUUGGUGCUCCGAGCUUUGGUAGAGCUUCGGUACCCUGUUAACUCGUAAAACUCUAUUCUUACUGGUUGGUUGAAGAAUUCUGUUAGAUGCUCUGUUAUUGCCCAGUUAGAAUUUGGUAUUCUGAGGCCGGAGGCCAUGGUUUGUAACACUAAGCUUUGUGUAUAUUUUACGCUGGCUGUUGGGUUGAAUAAAUAUCUGUGUUUUUGACAGGUUGAAA